rnacentral:pre_miRNA from 8 species
AUAUAUACACGCAUAUAUACAUAUGUGUGUAUAUAUAUACACACAUAUGUAUAUAUGCGUAUAUAUAAA